CUCUCUCUCAGACAAUACAGAAUACAGACAGUGAUCAGUUUAUCUCACAGGAAAGCAUCUCUGUUUUUAACAGUUCUGCAGUUGUCAUAUAUACUCACGACGUCAGUUAGUUGGGGAUGCAGAUGUACUACAGCUAGCUGGUUAAUUUUUAGUUGAAGGCUGAGAAAUGGAGACAGGAGCGUCUGAGUUUGCAAAGAACUUGGCCCGGGGGCAUGCGCAGGUGAUACCAGUCUCACUCUUUGUGGCGGUUCUCUGCCUUUGCUUAGUCGUCGGCCACUUGUUCGAAGAAAAUCGAUGGGUUAACGAAUCCAUCACCGCCAUUAUCAUCGGAUGCAUAACUGGAACAAUAAUCUUGCUUGUGAGCAAAGGAAAGAGUUCUCACAUCCUACGAUUUAAUGAAGAGUUGUUCUUUAUAUAUCUCCUCCCACCAAUUAUAUUCAAUGCUGGAUUCCAGGUCAAGAAGAAAAUGUUUUUUCAGAACUUCUUAACCAUCAUGAUGUUUGGGGUGAUUGGUGUUUUCAUUUCAGUAUUCAUCAUAACAGUUGGAGCCCGGUGGCUGUUCCCGAAGUUGGGGUUUGGUGACCUGAAUGUGCGAGACUAUCUCGCUGUUGGGACAAUUUUUUCGUCAACUGAUACAGUGUGUACGCUGCAGAUUCUUCAUCAAGACGAAACUCCUUUACUGUACAGCCUAGUCUUUGGGGAAGGAGUGGUAAAUGAUGCAACAUCAGUUGUCCUGUUCAAUGCAAUUCAAAAGAUUGAUGUUAGUAAGCUUAAUGGCACGACUGGACUUCGUGUCAUUGGAGAUUUUCUAUACUUAUUCUUUACAAGCACUGCUCUCGGAAUUGCAUUUGGACUUGUGGCAGCAUAUGCCCUUAAAACCUUAUGCUUCGGAAGGCAUUCAAGCAUCCGCGAGAUUUCCUUAGUGGUUCUAAUGGCUUAUCUGUCUUACAUGGUGGCUGAGCUGUUCGACCUGAGUGGAAUUCUCACUGUUUUCUUCUGUGGGAUUCUCAUGUCACACUACGCAUGGCAUAACAUCACUGAAAGUUCAAGAAUCACAACCAGGCAUGUAUUUGCAAUGAUGUCAUUUAUAGCAGAAACAUUCAUAUUUCUUUAUGUGGGGAUGGAUGCUCUUGACAUCGAGAAGUGGAAGUUAACUGAAUUAAGUUUAGGGUCUUCGUUGGGCAUCUAUAGUACGAUACUCAUGUUAAUAUUGAUUGGACGUGCUGCGUUUGUAUUCCCUCUGUCAGCAGUCUCCAAUUACAUGAAUAGACGGGCUGAGAGAUCAUCGUCAAUUUCAUUCAAGAACCAGGUAAUCAUAUGGUGGGCCGGGUUGAUGAGAGGAGCAGUCUCUAUUGCUCUGGCUUUUAAACAGUUCACAUAUUCUGGUGUCACAUUGGAUCCCAUCAAUGCCACGAUGAUUACUAACACCAUAAUUGUCGUCCUCUUCAGUACGCUGGUGUUUGGCUUUCUGACGAAGCCGCUUAUAACUUAUUUGCUUCCGCACGCUGCAACUAGCAACAUUCAGCGUAAAGAGUCAAAGGACAUAUCGGAUGACCUGAAUCUGCCUUUGCUCUCCUUUGAAGAAUCGGCUUCCACAAAUAUCAGUCGUGCAAAGGACAAUUUAUCCAUGUUGAUGGAAAGUCCAGUACACACCGUACACUCUUACUGGAGGAGGUUCGAUGAUGCCUAUAUGAGACCAAUGUUCGGAGGACCAAUUCGCAAUCACUCCGCAUGUUAAAAUGAAAGCCUUUGGUUUAAGUUCGUCAGAGCCUUACAAUCAAAGCACACAAUCACGAAACACAGCCGUGCGCGGUUGCUACAAGGAUUCAAUGUUUACUUUAGUUACAGGGCGGAAUUAAUCGUCGAGGCUGCGGAAUAAAUUCGUGGAAUAACGUAACGCUAUGUGUAUAUUGAGGUAGUAACCAAACUUUUUUCAUUGCAUAAUGCAUAAG